rnacentral:rRNA from 1 species
UACGGAGGGGGCUAGCGUUGUUCGGAAUUACUGGGCGUAAAGCGCACGUAGGCGGCUUUGUAAGUUAGAGGUGAAAGCCCGGGGCUCAACUCCGGAAUUGCCGUUGAGACUGCAUCGCUAGAAUUGUGGAGAGGUAAGUGGAAUUCCGAGUGUAGAGGUGAAAUUCGUAGAUAUUCGGAAGAACACCAGUGGCGAAGGCGACUUGCUGGACACAUAUUGACGCUGAGGUGCGAAAGCGUGGGGAGCAAACAGG